rnacentral:rRNA from 1 species
CCUACGGGAGGCAGCAGUGAGGAAUAUUGGACAAUGGACGCAAGUCUGAACCAGCCAUGCCGCGUGCAGGAAGACGGCUCUAUGAGUUGUAAACUGCUUUUGUACGGGGGUAAACGCAGAUACGCGUAUCUGUCUGACAGUAUCGUACGAAUAAGGAUCGGCUAACUCCGUGCCAGCAGCCGCGGUAAUACGGAGGAGUCAAGCGUUAUCCGGAUUUAGUGGGUUUAAAGGGUGCGUAGGCGGGCGGAUAAGUCAGAGGUGAAAUCCCGAGGUUCAACUUCGUGAUUGCCUCUGAUACUGUUUGGCUAGAGAGUAGGUGCGGUAGGCGGAAUGUAUGGUGUAGCGGUGAAAUGCUUAGAGAUCAUACAGAACACAGACUGCGAAGGCAGCUUACCAAGCCACUUCUGACGUUGAGGCACGAAAGCGUGGGGAGCAAACAGGAUUAGAUACCCCUGUAGUC